CAAAAAAAACGUAAGGGGUAAGCCUUAUGAAAUUUUCGAGUUGAAAUUUUUUUGAAAUUUUUUUUCGAUUUUUUAUUUUUUUUUUAGUUUAAGGCAUUAUUUGAGUGAAAAGAAACAUAUUGCAACAAAUUCCCAUGAAAAUAUAUCACAUUUUUCAAUUUUGCUAAAUUGUUCAAAAACAGGGUAAGGAACUUGGUUCCUCGAAUAACUUCUGGCACAGACAUCUGACGGUAUGGCUGUCCAAGAAGAAAAUGUAGCCAUUGGUGCCAUCUAUCGACCACAAGUUGAAGAUUGGCGAUCCGUUGGAUACCGACCGAGUUAUAGGCAAAUUUUGGUGCAAGAUUGACCCUUAGUAAAUUUUCAUUUUUUUGAAUUUUUUGAUUUUUUCAUUAUUUUUCACUCUUUUCUUUAUUUCAAUCAUUAUUUCAGUGAAAAGAAACUCAUUGCAACCAAUUGGGAUUAAAAUAAAACAAUUUUAUUUUUUUUUGCAAAAUUUCUCAAAAAAAAACGUAAGGGGUAAGCCUUAUGAAAUUUUCGAGUUGAAAUUUUUUUGAAAUUUUUUUUUCGAUUUUUUAUUCUUUUUUUAGUUUUAAGCAUUAUUUGAGUGAAAAGAAACAUAUUGCAACAAAUUCCCAUGAAAAUAUAUCACAGUUUUCAAUUUUGCUAAAUUGUUCAAAAACAGGGUAAGGAACUUGGUUCCUCGAAUAACUACUGGCACAGACAUCUGACGGUAUGGCCGUCCAAGAAGAAAAUGUAGCCAUUGGUGCCAUCUAUCGACCACAAGUUAAAGAUUGGCGAUCCGUUGGAUACCGACCGAGUUAUAGGCAAAAGUUGGUGCAAAAAUGAGAAAAAUUUUACAUUUUAUCAAACAGGGUAAGGAACUUGGUUCCUCGAAUAACUUCUGGCACACACAUCUGAGGGCAUGGCCGUCCAAGAAGAAAAUGUAGCCAUUAAUGCCAUCUAUCGACCACAGGUUAAAGAUUGGCGAUCCGUUGGAUACCGACCGAGUUAUAGGCAAAAGUUAGUGCAAAAAUGAGCCUUAGUAAAUUUUCAUUUUUUUGAAUUUUUUGAUUUUUUGAUUAUUUUUCACUCUUUUUUUUAUUUCAAUCAUUAUUUGAGUGAAAAGAAACUCAUUGCAACCAAUUGGGAUUAAAAUAAAACAAUUUUAUUUUUUUUUGCAAAAUUUCUCAAAAAAAACGUAAGGGGUAAGCCUUAUGAAAUUUUCGAGUUGAAAUUUUUUUGAAAUUUUUUUUUCGAUUUUUUAUUCUUUUUUUAGUUUAAGGCAUUAUUUGAGUGAAAAGAAACAUAUUGCAACAAAUUCCCAUGAAAAUAUAUCACAUUUUUCAAUUUUGCUAAAUUGUUCAAAAACAGGGUAAGGAACUUGGUUCCUCGAAUAACUUCUGGCACAGACAUCUGACGGUAUGGCUGUCCAAGAAGAAAAUGUAGCCAUUGGUGCCAUCUACCGACCACAAGUUAAAGAUUGGCGAUCCGUUGGAUACCGACCGAGUUAUAGGCAAAAGUUGGUGCAAAAAUGAGAAAAUUUUUACAUUUUCUCAAACAGGGUAAGGAACUUGGUUCCUCGAAUAACUUCUGGCACAUACAUCUGAGGGCAUGACCGUCCACGAAGAAAAUGUAGCCAUUGGUGCCAUCUAUCGACCACAGGUUAAAGAUUGGCGAUCCGUUGGAUACCGACCGAGUUAUAGGCAAAUUUUGGUGCAAAAAUGACCCUUAGUAAAUUUUCAGUUUUUUGAAUUUUUUGAUUUUUUCAUUAUUUUUCACUCUUUUUUUUAUUUCAAUCAUUAUUUGAGUGAAAAGAAACUCAUUGCAACCAAUUGGGAUUAAAAUAAAACAAUUUUAUUUUUUUUGCAAAAUUUCUCAAAAAAACGUAAGGGGUAAGCCUUAUGAAAUUUUCGAGUUGAAAUUUUUUUGAAAUUUUUUUUUCGAUUUUUUAUUCUUUUUUUAGUUUAAGGCAUUAUUUGAGUGAAAAGAAACAUAUUGCAACAAAUUCCCAUGAAAAUAUAUCACAUUUUUCAAUUUUGCUAAAUUGUUCAAAAACAGGGUAAGGAACUUGGUUCCUCGAAUAACUUCUGGCACAGACAUCUGACGGUAUGGUCGUCCAAGAAGAAAAUGUAGCCAUUGGUGCCAUCUAUCGACCACAAGUUAAAGAUUGGCGAUCCGUUGGAUACCGACCGAGUUAUAGGCGAAAGUUGGUGCAAAAAUGAGAAAAUUUUUACAUUUUAUCAAACAGGGUAAGGAACUUGGUUCCUCGAAUAACUUCUGGCACAGACAUCUGAGGGCAUGGCCGUCCAAGAAGAAAAUGUAGCCAUUGAUGCCAUCUAUCGACCACAGGUUAAAGAUUGGCGAUCCGUUGGAUACCGACCGAGUUAUAGCCAAAACUUGGUGCAAAAAUGACCCUUAGUAAAUUUUCAGUUUUUUGAAUUUUUUGAUUUUUUCAUUAUUUUUCACUCUUUUUUUUAUUUCAAUCAUUAUUUGAGUGAAAAGAAACUCAUUGCAACCAAUUGGGAUUAAAAUAAAACAAUUUUAUUUUUUUUGCAAAAUUUCUCAAAAAAAACGUAAGGGGUAAGCCUUAUGAAAUUUUCGAGUUGAAAUUUUUUUGAAAUUUUUUUUCGAUUUUUUAUUUUUUUUUAGUUUAAGGCAUUAUUUGAGUGAAAAGAAACAUAUUGCAACAAAUUCCCAUGAAAAUAUAUCACAUUUUUCAAUUUUGCUAAAUUGUUCAAAAACAGGGUAAGGAACUUGGUUCCUCGAAUAACUUCUGGCACAGACAUCUGACGGUAUGGCUGUCCAAGAAGAAAAUUUAGCCAUUGGUGCCAUCUAUCGACCACAAGUUAAAGAUUGGCGAUCCGUUGGAUACCGACCGAGUUAUAGGCAAAAGUUGGUGCAAAAAUGAGAAAAUUUUUACAUUUUAUCAAACAGGGUAAGGAACUUGGUUCCUCGAAUAACUUCUGGCACAGACAUCUGAGGGCAUGGCCGUCCAAGAAGAAAAUGUAGCCAUUGAUGCCAUCUAUCGACCACAGGUUAAAGAUUGGCGAUCCGUUGGAUACCGACCGAGUUAUAGCCAAAACUUGGUGCAAAAAUGACCCUUAGUAAAUUUUCAGUUUUUUGAAUUUUUUGAUUUUUUUAUUAUUUUUCACUCUUUUUUUUAUUUCAAUCAUUAUUUGAGUGAAAAGAAACUCAUUGCAACCAAUUGGGAUUAAAAUAAAACAAUUUUAUUUUUUUUGCAAAAUUUCUCAAAAAAAACGUAAGGGGUAAGCCUUAUGAAAUUUUCGAGUUGAAAUUUUUUUGAAAUUUUUUUUUCGAUUUUUUAUUCUUUUUUUAGUUUAAAGCAUUAUUUGAGUGAAAAGAAACAUAUUGCAACAAAUUCCCAUGAAAAUAUAUCACAUUUUUCAAUUUUGCUAAAUUGUUCAAACACAGGGUAAGGAACUUGGUUCCUCGAAUAACUUCUGGCACAGACAGCUGACGGUAUGGUCGUCCAAGAAGAAAAUGUAGCCAUUGGUGCCAUCUAUCGACCACAGGUUAAAGAUUGGCGAUCCGUUGGAUACCGACCGAGUUAUAGGCAAAAGUUGGUGCAAAAAAGAGAAAAACUUUACAUUUUAUCAAACAGGGUAAGGAACUUGGUUCCUCGAAUAACUUCUGGCACACACAUCUGAGGGCAUGGCCGUCCAAGAAGAAAAUGUAGCCAUUGAUGCCUUCUAUCGACCACAGGUUAAAGAUUGGCGAUCCGUUGGAUACCGACCGAGUUAUAGGCAAAAUUUGGUGCAAAAAUGACCCUUAGUAAAUGUUCAAUUUUUUGAAUUUUUUGAUUUUUUGAUUAUUUUUCACUCUUUUUUUUAUUUCAAUCAUUAUUUGAGUGAAAAGAAACUCAUUGCAACCAAUUGGGAUUAAAAUAAAACAAUUUUAUUUUUUUUGCAAAAUUUCUCAAAAAAAACGUAAGGGGUAAGCCUUAUGAAAUUUUCGAGUUGAAAUUUUUUUGAAAUUUUUUUUCGAUUUUUUAUUUUUUUUUUUAGUUUAAGGCAUUAUUUGAGUGAAAAGAAACAUAUUGCAACAAAUUCCCAUGAAAAUAUAUCACAUUUUUCAAUUUUGCUAAAUUGUUCAAAAACAGGGUAAGGAACUUGGUUCCUCGAAUAACUUCUGGCACAGACAUCUGACGGUAUGGCUGUCCAAGAAGAAAAUGUAGCCAUUGGUGCCAUCUAUCGACCACAAGUUAAAGAUUGGCGAUCCGUUGGAUACCGACCGAGUUAUAGGCAAAAGUUGGUGCAAAAAUGAGAAAAAUUUUACAUUUUAUCAAACAGGGUAAGGAACUUGGUUCCUCGAAUAACUUCUGGCACACACAUCUGAGGGCAUGGCCGUCCAAGAAGAAAAUAUAGCCAUUGAUGCCAUCUAUCGACCACAGGUUAAAGAUUGGCGAUCCGUUGGAUACCGACCGAGUUAUAGGCAAAUUUUGGUGCAAAAAUGACCCUUAGUAAAUUUUCAGUUUUUUGAAUUUUUUGAUUUUUUCAUUAUUUUUCACUCUUUUUUUUAUUUCAAUCAUUAUUUGAGUGAAAAGAAACUCAUUGCAACCAAUUGGGAUUAAAAUAAAACAAUUUUAUUUUUUUUGCAAAAUUUCUCAAAAAAACGUAAGGGGUAAGCCUUAUGAAAUUUUCGAGUUGAAAUUUUUUUGAAAUUUUUUUUUCGAUUUUUUAUUCUUUUUUUAGUUUAAAGCAUUAUUUGAGUGAAAAGAAACAUAUUGCAACAAAUUCCCAUGAAAAUAUAUCACAUUUUUCAAUUUUGCUAAAUUGUUCAAAACCAGGGUAAGGAACUUGGUUCCUCGAAUAACUUCUGGCACAGACAUCUGACGGUAUGGCCGUCCAAGAAGAAAAUGUAGCCAUUGGUGCCAUCUAUCGACCACAAGUUAAAGAUUGGCGAUCCGUUGGAUACCGACCGAGUUAUAGGCAAAAGUUGGUGCAAAAAUGAGAAAAUUUUUACAUUUUAUCAAACAGGGUAAGGAACUUGGUUCCUCGAAUAACUUCUGGCACAGACAUCUGAGGGCAUGGCCGUCCAAGAAGAAAAUAUAGCCAUUGAUGCCAUCUAUCGACCACAGGUUAAAGAUUGGCGAUCCGUUGGAUACCGACCGAGUUAUAGCCAAAACUUGGUGCAAAAAUGACCCUUAGUAAAUUUUCAGUUUUUUGAAUUUUUUGAUUUUUUCAUUAUUUUUCACUCUUUUUUUUAUUUCAAUCAUUAUUUGAGUGAAAAGAAACUCAUUGCAACCAAUUGGGAUUAAAAUAAAACAAUUUUAUUUUUUUUGCAAAAUUUCUCAAAAAAAACGUAAGGGGUAAGCCUUAUGAAAUUUUCGAGUUGAAAUUUUUUUGAAAUUUUUUUUUUCGAUUUUUUAUUCUUUUUUUAGUUUAAAGCAUUAUUUGAGUGAAAAGAAACAUAUUGCAACAAAUUCCCAUGAAAAUAUAUCACAUUUUUCAAUUUUGCUAAAUUGUUCAAACACAGGGUAAGGAACUUGGUUCCUCGAAUAACUUCUGGCACAGACAUCUGACGGUAUGGUCGUCCAAGAAGAAAAUGUAGCCAUUGGUGCCAUCUAUCGACCACAGGUUAAAGAUUGGCGAUCCGUUGGAUACCGACCGAGUUAUAGGCAAAAGUUGGUGCAAAAAUGAGAAAAUUUUUACAUUUUAUCAAACAGGGUAAGGAACUUGGUUCCUCGAAUAACUUCUGGCACAGACAUCUGAGGGCAUGGCCGUCCAAGAAGAAAAUGUAGCCAUUGAUGCCAUCUAUCGACCACAGGUUAAAGAUUGGCGAUCCGUUGGAUACCGACCGAGUUAUAGGCAAAACUAGGUGCAAAAAUGAGCCUUAGUAAAUUUUCAUAUUUUUGAAUUUUUUGAUUUUUUUAUUAUUUUUCACUCUUUUUUCAUUUAAAGCAUUACUUGAGUGAAAAGAAACACAUUGCAACCAGUUGGGAUUAAAAUAAAUCAAUUUAAUUUUUUUUGCAAAAUUUCCCAAUAAAGACGU